GGCGAGCACCACAAAUGGGCUUCACACAUUGUACCCAUCGUGACAUGCGGGCGCUUUUAACCACAAGGCUACCCCACCGCCACUCGACAUGUCUUUACUGAUCCAUCACACGGAUUCCCUAGUCAUGUAGUGGACGUUCCUGCAAGUCUCUACACAACACAGUUCACACACACCCAAACCUUUAAACACAAUUCACACAUGGCCACACAUGAGUGAUAGGCCUAAUUUGUUGUGUUCACUUUUUAGCAUGCUCAAGGUAGGCGUUAUGGACAUAAUUUCAAAGGUAACUUACUACCCCUACACCGUGACUGGCCAAGCUAAUCCUAAUCCCUAAUAGAUAGGAUUAAUUAACACAGGGCUGGGUGAGCGGG